UACGUAGGGUGCAGGCGUUAAUCGGAAUUACUGGGCGUAAAGCGUGCGCAGGCGGUGAUGUAAGACAGAUGUGAAAUCCCCGGGCUCAACCUGGGAACUGCAUUUGUGACUGCAUCGCUAGAGUACGGCAGAGGGGGAUGGAAUUCCGCGUGUAGCAGUGAAAUGCGUAGAUAUGCGGAGGAACACCGAUGGCGAAGGCAAUCCCCUGGGCCUGUACUGACGCUCAUGCACGAAAGCGUGGGGAGCAAACAGG
rnacentral:rRNA from 1 species